rnacentral:rRNA from 1 species
AACGCUAGCUACAGGCUUAACACAUGCAAGUCGAGGGGAAACGAUAUUGGAAGCUUGCUUCCGAUAGGCGUCGACCGGCGCACGGGUGAGUAACGCGUAUCCAACCUGCCCACCACUUGGGGAUAACCUUGCGAAAGUAAGACUAAUACCCAAUGAUAUCUCUAGAAGACAUCUGAAAGGGAUUAAAGAUUUAUCGGUGAUGGAUGGGGAUGCGUCUGAUUAGCUUGUUGGCGGGGUAACGGCCCACCAAGGCUACGAUCAGUAGGGGUUCUGAGAGGAAGGUCCCCCACAUUGGAACUGAGACACGGUCCAAACUCCUACGGGAGGCAGCAGUGAGGAAUAUUGGUCAAUGGGCGAGAGCCUGAACCAGCCAAGUAGCGUGCAGGAUGACGGCCCUAUGGGUUGUAAACUGCUUUUAUAAGGGAAUAAAGUGAGUCUCGUGAGACUUUUUGCAUGUACCUUAUGAAUAAGGACCGGCUAAUUCCGUGCCAGCAGCCGCGGUAAUACGGAAGGUCCGGGCGUUAUCCGGAUUUAUUGGGUUUAAAGGGAGCGUAGGCCGGAGAUUAAGCGUGUUGUGAAAUGUAGACGCUCAACGUCUGCACUGCAGCGCGAACUGUUUUCCUUGAGUACGCACAAAGUGGGCGGAAUUCGUGGUGUAGCGGUGAAAUGCUUAGAUAUCACGAAGAACUCCGAUUG